ACGAACGCUGGCGGCGUGCUUCACACAUGCAAGUCGAGCGGAAAGGCCCUGCUUUUGUGGGGUGCUCGAGUGGCGAACGGGUGAGUAACACGUGAGUAACCUGCCCUUGACUUUGGGAUAACUUCAGGAAACUGGGGCUAAUACCGGAUAGGAGCUCCUGCUGCAUGGUGGGGGUUGGAAAGUUUCGGCGGUUGGGGAUGGACUCGCGGCUUAUCAGCUUGUUGGUGGGGUAGUGGCUUACCAAGGCUUUGACGGGUAGCCGGCCUGAGAGGGUGACCGGCCACAUUGGGACUGAGAUACGGCCCAGACUCCUACGGGAGGCAGCAGUGGGGAAUAUUGCACAAUGGGCGGAAGCCUGAUGCAGCAACGCCGCGUGCGGGAUGAAGGCCUUCGGGUUGUAAACCGCUUUCGCCUGUGACGAAGCGUGAGUGACGGUAAUGGGUAAAGAAGCACCGGCUAACUACGUG
rnacentral:rRNA from 1 species